CCUACGGGAGACAGCAGUGAGGAAUAUUGGUCAAUGGCCGCAGGGCUGAACCAGCCAAGUCGCGUGAGGGAUGACGGUCCUAUGGAUUGUAAACCUCUUUUGUCAGGGAGCAAAGGGCGCCACGUGUGGCGCUUUGCGAGUACCUGAAGAAAAAGCAUCGGCUAACUCCGUGCCAGCAGCCGCGGUAAUACGGAGGAUGCGAGCGUUAUCCGGAUUUAUUGGGUUUAAGGGGUGCGCAGGCGGAAUGUCAAGUCAGCGGUAAAAUUUCGGGGCUCAACCCCGUCGUGCCGUUGAAACUGGCGUUCUUGAGUGAGCGAGAGGUAUGCGGAAUGCGUGGUGUAGCGGUGAAAUGCAUAGAUAUCACGCAGAACUCCGAUUGCGAAGGCAGCAUACCGGCGCUCAACUGACGCUCAUGCACGAAAGCGUGGGUAUCGAACAGGAUUAGAUACCCGGGUAGUC
rnacentral:rRNA from 1 species